rnacentral:rRNA from 1 species
UACGUAGGGGGCUAGCGUUGUCCGGAAUCAUUGGGCGUAAAGCGCGUGUAGGCGGUCCGGUAAGUCCGCUGUGAAAGUCGAGGGCUCAACCCUCGAAUGCCGGUGGAUACUGUCGGGCUUGAGUACGGGAGAGGCGUGUGGAAUUCCGGGUGUAGUGGUGAAAUGCGUAGAGAUCCGGAGGAACACCAGUGGCGAAGGCGACACGCUGGGCCGUACCUGACACUGAACCGCGACAGCAUGGGGAGCAAACAGG